rnacentral:rRNA from 1 species
CAGUCGCCGCGGUAAUACGUAGGUGGCAAGCGUUGUCCGGAAUUAUUGGGCGUAAAGCGCACGUAGGCGGCUUUGUAAGUUAGAGGUGAAAGCCUGGAGCUCAACUCCGGAAUUGCCUUUAAGACUGCAUCGCUUGAAUCCAGGAGAGGUGAGUGGAAUCCCGAGUGUAGAGGUGAAAUUCGUAGAUAUUCGGAAGAACACCAGUGGCGAAGGCGGCUCACUGGCUCAUACUGGACGCUGAGGUGCGAAAGCGUGGGGAGCAAACAGGAUUAGAGACCCGAGUAGUCCCUGUCUCUUAUAC